rnacentral:rRNA from 1 species
CGGGUGAGUAACACGUGAGCAACCUGCCCCGAAGACUGGGAUAACACCGGGAAACCGGUGCUAAUACCGGAUGUCCUCCUCUGGUCGCAUGGCCUAAGGAGGAAAGGAAUUUUGCUUCGGGAGGGGCUCGCGGGCUAUCAGCUUGUUGGUGAGGUAACGGCUCACCAAGGCGACGACGGCUAGCUGGUCUGAGAGGACGACCAGUCACACUGGGACUGAGACACGGCCCAG